rnacentral:rRNA from 1 species
CAAUAGCGUAUAUUAAAGUUGUUGCAGUUAAAAAGCUCGUAGUUGGAUUUGUGGCUGUCACGGGCGGCCUAUCACUUAGUGUUAGUGCUUGCCUGUGUCGCCAUCCUUGGGUGGAGCCCGUGUGGCAUUAGGUUGUCGUGCGGGGGAUGCCCAUCGUUUACUGUGAGAAAAUUAGAGUGUUCAAAGCAGGCUUAUGCCAUUGAAUAUGUUAGCAUGGAAUAAUAAGAUAGGACCUCGGUACUAUUUUGUUGGUUUGCGCACCGAGGUAAUGAUUAAUAGGGACAGUUGGGGGUAUUCGUAUUUCAUUGUCAGAGGUGAAAUUCUUGGAUUUCUGAAAGACGAACUACUGCGAAAGCAUUUACCAAGGAUGUUUUCAUUAA